rnacentral:rRNA from 1 species
UACGUAGGGGGCAAGCGUUGUCCGGAUUUAUUGGGCGUAAAGAGCGUGUAGGCGGCUUGGUAGGUCUUGCGUCAAAACCUGAGGCUCAACCUCAGUUCGCGUGGGAAACCACCUAGCUAGAGUCCGGAAGAGGAGAACGGAAUUCCCAGUGUAGCGGUGAAAUGCGCAGAUAUUGGGAAGAACACCAGUGGCGAAGGCGACUUCCUGGCCUGUUACUUGACGCUGAGGCGCGAAAGCUAGGGGAGCAAACGGG